rnacentral:rRNA from 1 species
GACGAACGCUGGCGGCGUGCUUAACACAUGCAAGUCGAACGGAAAGGCCCUGCUUUUGUGGGGUGCUCGAGUGGCGAACGGGUGAGUAACACGUGAGUAACCUGCCCUUGACUUUGGGAUAACUUCAGGAAACUGGGGCUAAUACCGGAUAGGAGCUCCUGCUGCAUGGUGGGGGUUGGAAAGUUUCGGUGGUUGGGGAUGGACUCGCGGCUUAUCAGCUUGUUGGUGGGGUAGUGGCUUACCAAGGCUUUGACGGGUAGCCGGCCUGAGAGGGUGACCGGCCACAUUGGGACUGGGAUACGGCCCAGACUCCUACGGGAGGCAGCGGUGGGGAAUAUUGCACAAUGGGCGGAAGCCUGAUGCAGCAACGCCGCGUGCGGGAUGACGGCCUUCGGGUUGUAAACCGCUUUCGCCUGUGACGAAGCGUGAGUGACGGUAAUGGGUAAAGAAGCACCGGCUAACUACGUG